rnacentral:rRNA from 1 species
GAUGAACGCUGGCGGCGUGCCUAAUACAUGCAAGUCGAGCGAACAGACGAGGAGCUUGCUCCUCUGACGUUAGCGGCGGACGGGUGAGUAACACGUGGAUAACCUACCUAUCAGACUGGGAUAACUUCGGGAAACCGGAGCUAAUACCGGAUAAUAUAUUGAACCGCAUGGUUCAAUAGUGAAAGACGGUUUUGCUGUCACUUAUAGAUGGAUCCGCGCCGCAUUAGCUAGUUGGGAAGGUAACGGCUUACCAAGGCAACGAUGCGUAGCCGACCUGAGAGGGUGGUCGGCCACACGGGAACUGAGACGCGGUCCAGACUCCUACGGGAGGCAGCAGUAGGGAAUCGGCCGCAGUGGGGGAAAGCCUGACGGAGCAACGCCGCGUGAGUGAUGAAGGUCUUCGGAUCGUAAAACUCUGUUAUUAGGGAAGAACAAAUGUGUAAGUAACUAUGCACGUCUUGACGGUACCUAAUCAGAAAGCCACGGCUAACUACGUG